rnacentral:rRNA from 1 species
GCAAGUCGAACGGUGAACCAGAGCUUGCUCUGGGGAUCAGUGGCGAACGGGUGAGUAACACGUGGGCAACCUGCCCCAGACUCUGGGAUAACCUCGGGAAACCGAUGCUAAUACCGGAUACGACCACUUCGGACAUCCGACGGUGGUGGAAAGUUUUUCGGUCUGGGAUGGGCCCGCGGCCGAGCAGCUAGUUGGUGGGGUAAUGGCCUACCAAGGCGACGAUGGGUAGCCGGUCUGAGAGGGUGAUC